rnacentral:sRNA from 1 species
GGACCUGAAGCUUUUGAUCCUAAAAGAUUAUUAGAAGAAUUUGUAAGUCAUAUUCAGGAACUCCAGAUAAUGGAUGAAAGGAUUCAGAGGAAAGUAGAGAAACUAGAGCAACAAUGUCAGAAAGAAGCCAAGGAAUUUGCCAAGAAGGUACAAGAGCUGCAGAAAAGCAAUCAGGUUGCCUUCCAACAUUUCCAAGAACUAGAUGAGCACAUUAGCUAUGUAGCAACUAAAGUCUGUCACCUUGGAGACCAGUUAGAGGGGGUAAACACACCCAGACAACGCGCAGUGGAGGCUCAGAAAUUGAUGAAAUACUUUAAUGAGUUUCUAGAUGGAGAAUUGAAAUCUGAUGUUUUUACAAAUUCUGAAAAGCACUAGUCACUUACUCCUGGUCUAAGGGUACAUGGUAUUGGCUGCUCUGCAAUCUUGAAAGAAGGUAAUUUAGCUCACUUUCUUCCCCUCAAGGGAAAAAAAAAAAUCAAAAUGUGUGAGAAAAUGGACAUUCUUAUGGAUCUUAUAUGUACAUAGCAACAUUGUCCACUCAUAUUGAAUACAGUCUUCCUGAAUUAUUCCAGAUUUACUCCAUAGAAUAUUUCAGAUAGUGAAAUGUAAAAGCUAAGUAUUAUUGAGACUCACUUUGAAUUAAGCAACACUUUUUUUAAUAGAACUCUAUAGGGUUAUAGAACUUACAAUUUUUAGAGUUCUUUGGAAAAUAGUUAUGUGUGUACAGAUAAUUCCUCUAAAGAAAAGGCGUUUUUGAAAA